rnacentral:rRNA from 1 species
GGGUUGUGAGGUUAAGCGACUAAGCGUACACGGUGGAUGCCCUGGCAGUCAGAGGCGAUGAAGGACGUGCUAAUCUGCGAUAAGCGUCGGUAAGGUGAUAUGAACCGUUAUAACCGGCGAUUUCCGAAUGGGGAAACCCAGUGUGAUUCGUCACACUAUCAUUAACUGAAUCCAUAGGUUAAUGAGGCGAACCGGGGGAACUGAAACAUCUAAGUACCCCGAGGAAAAGAAAUCAACCGAGAUUCCCCCAGUAGCGGCGAGCGAACGGGGAGCAGCCCAGAGCCUGAAUCAGUGUGUGUGUUAGUGGAAGCGUCUGGAAAGGCGCGCGAUACAGGGUGACAGCCCCGUACACAAAAAUGCACAUGCUGUGAGCUCGAUGAGUAGGGCGGGACACGUGGUAUCCUGUCUGAAUAUGGGGGGACCAUCCUCCAAGGCUAAAUACUCCUGACUGACCGAUAGUGAACCAGUACCGUGAGGGAAAGGCGAAAAGAACCCCGGCGAGGGGAGUGAAAAAGAACCUGAAACCGUGUACGUACAAGCAGUGGGAGCACGCUUAGGCGUGUGACUGCGUACCUUUUGUAUAAUGGGUCAGCGACUUAUAUUCUGUAGCAAGGUUAACCGAAUAGGGGAGCCGAAGGGAAACCGAGUCUUAACUGGGCGUUAAGUUGCAGGGUAUAGACCCGAAACCCGGUGAUCUAGCCAUGGGCAGGUUGAAGGUUGGGUAACACUAACUGGAGGACCGAACCGACUAAUGUUGAAAAAUUAGCGGAUGACUUGUGGCUGGGGGUGAAAGGCCAAUCAAACCGGGAGAUAGCUGGUUCUCCCCGAAAGCUAUUUAGGUAGCGCCUCGUGAAUUCAUCUCCGGGGGUAGAGCACUGUUUCGGCAAGGGGGUCAUCCCGACUUACCAACCCGAUGCAAACUGCGAAUACCGGAGAAUGUUAUCACGGGAGACACACGGCGGGUGCUAACGUCCGUCGUGAAGAGGGAAACAACCCAGACCGCCAGCUAAGGUCCCAAAGUCAUGGUUAAGUGGGAAACGAUGUGGGAAGGCCCAGACAGCCAGGAUGUUGGCUUAGAAGCAGCCAUCAUUUAAAGAAAGCGUAAUAGCUCACUGGUCGAGUCGGCCUGCGCGGAAGAUGUAACGGGGCUAAACCAUGCACCGAAGCUGCGGCAGCGACGCUGAUGCGUUGUUGGGUAGGGGAGCGUUCUGUAAGCCUGUGAAGGUGUGCUGUGAGGCAUGCUGGAGGUAUCAGAAGUGCGAAUGCUGACAUAAGUAACGAUAAAGCGGGUGAAAAGCCCGCUCGCCGGAAGACCAAGGGUUCCUGUCCAACGUUAAUCGGGGCAGGGUGAGUCGACCCCUAAGGCGAGGCCGAAAGGCGUAGUCGAUGGGAAACAGGUUAAUAUUCCUGUACUUGGUGUUACUGCGAAGGGGGGACGGAGAAGGCUAUGUUGGCCGGGCGACGGUUGUCCCGGUUUAAGCGUGUAGGCUGGUUUUCCAGGCAAAUCCGGAAAAUCAAGGCUGAGGCGUGAUGACGAGGCACUACGGUGCUGAAGCAACAAAUGCCCUGCUUCCAGGAAAAGCCUCUAAGCAUCAGGUAACAUCAAAUCGUACCCCAAACCGACACAGGUGGUCAGGUAGAGAAUACCAAGGCGCUUGAGAGAACUCGGGUGAAGGAACUAGGCAAAAUGGUGCCGUAACUUCGGGAGAAGGCACGCUGAUAUGUAGGUGAAGCGACUUGCUCGUGGAGCUGAAAUCAGUCGAAGAUACCAGCUGGCUGCAACUGUUUAUUAAAAACACAGCACUGUGCAAACACGAAAGUGGACGUAUACGGUGUGACGCCUGCCCGGUGCCGGAAGGUUAAUUGAUGGGGUCAGCGCAAGCGAAGCUCUUGAUCGAAGCCCCGGUAAACGGCGGCCGUAACUAUAACGGUCCUAAGGUAGCGAAAUUCCUUGUCGGGUAAGUUCCGACC